GGAGAUACCCCCUGUCUAUGUAAAGCGCUUUGAGUGUCUAGAAAAGCGCUAUAUAAAUCGGUUAAAGAUGGAGUGAAUGUGAAAGGCUACACAGCUUGGUCAUUGCUUGACAAGUUUGAAUGGGAGGAGGGCUAGUCCGAAAGAUUUGGCCUGUACUAUGUGGACUUUAUUUAAAGCUGGAAAAGAAAGGCACUGGAAACAUGCACCUCAAGCAACCAGCUCCUUGCGGCAGCUAGAAGAAAAUCCAAGGAAAAUAAGGAACAUGCAGAUAUGCCAAAGGUUUGGCCUGUGCAUGAUGAAGUUUAGGUUCAGAGCUCAGGAUGUCAUGUUUCAUGUUUUCUGUUCAGUGCUAGUGCUAUUUUCAAAUACCUUUAUGUUUUCACUGAAUGCAUCUUUUAUUAGUUGUCACUGACUCACCUUU